rnacentral:rRNA from 1 species
UGAACGCUGGCGGCGUGCCUAACACAUGCAAGUCGAACGGAGUAUCGCUGAUGAAGCUUCGGCAGAAUCUUGAAUAACUAGUGGCGGACGGGUGAGUAACGCGUGGGUAACCUGCCUCAUACAGGGGGAUAGCAGUUGGAACGACUGAUAACACCGCAUAAGCGCACAGUGUCGCAUGACACAGUGUGAAAAUAUUUAUAGGUAUGAGAUGGACCCGCGUCUGAUUAGCUAGUUGGUGAGGUAACGGCCCACCAAGGCGACGAUCAGUAGCCGGCCUGAGAGGGCGGACGGCCACAUUGGGACUGAGACACGGCCCAAACUCCUACGGGAGGCAGCAGUGGGGGAUAUUGCACAAUGGGCGAAAGCCUGAUGCAGCGACGCCCGCGUGAGUGAAGAAGUAUUUCGGUAUGUAAAGCUCUAUCAGCAGGGAAGAAAGACCUCGUAAGAGGGGAUGACGGUACCUGAGUAAGAAGCCCCGGCUAACUACGUGCCAGCCGCGGC